UGGGGAAUCUUGCGCAAUGGGCGAAAGCCUGACGCAGCAACGCCGCGUGGGGGAUGAAGGCCUUCGGGUUGUAAACCCCUUUCAGUGGGAACGAAAUUGACGGUACCCACAGAAGAAGCCCCGGCCAACUACGUGCCAGCAGCCGCGGUGAUACGUAGGGGGCGAGCGUUGUCCGGAUUUAUUGGGCGUAAAGAGCUCGUAGGCGGCUUGGUAAGUCGGGUGUGAAACCUCCAGGCUCAACCUGGAGACGCCACUCGAUACUGCCCUGGCUAGAGUCCGGUAGGGGAUCACGGAAUUCCUGGUGUAGCGGUGAAAUGCGCAGAUAUCAGGAGGAACACCAGUGGCGAAGGCGGUGAUCUGGGCCGGUACUGACGCUGAGGAGCGAAAGCGUGGGGAGCGAACAGGAUUAGGUACCCUGGUAGUCCACGCCGUAAACGUUGGGCACUAGGUGUGGGGCCUUAUCGACGGGUUCCGUGCCGCAGCUAACGCAUUAAGUGCCCCGCCUGGGGAGUACGGCCGCAAGGCUA
rnacentral:rRNA from 1 species